UGCCAUAUGCGCGGUUAAAUGACAACAGACGACAUGUGAAUAAUGAUGAAAUUUGAGGCAAGGGAGUUAGAAGAGCGUAUCAAGAUGAGAUAGCAACAGGAGAAGUAACAAAUACCAUAGAAGAGUAAACAAGAUGGAAUCUUUGCUAAAGCAGGUGUUAGAAAGCAUUCAGUCAACAGGGCUUGAAGACCUGAGCCCGGAGGAUGUUGGCAGAUUACUAGCUGUUGGUUCAUCAGAAACAUUGGAUGAGACGCUCACUUUAGGUGAUGGGGACUUGGAAAGUUUGGAGGAAGAAUGUCAGGAACAUAAACAUGAAAUGACGGAAGAUAUAAAAAAGGAAUUGGAAAGAAAUAAUAGCGGAUAUCCACACGAUCCUCUCUAUUUGCACUUAGCACACAAACUCAGGAAUUGGAUGGAUUCAAGAUCACCUGAUGCACUUACACUUCCAGAUUUUGAAUUUUUAAAUGAAGGAGAAAGUGUUACUGAGAGAAAACAACUGUUUGCUGCCCUCACUCCAGAUGUUUGUGAGUUUAAAGAUUUAUGGAAUGAGGACCAAUUGGAAAGAAAAAAACAAAUGUUGCUGACAAUCCUAAAGAAAUUGAAGAAGCGAGGAAUCUUGGCCUUACUUGGAAUGCGGAGGACAGUAGGCACUCUUGAAAUGUUUCCUCCAACAAGAUCGUGUCUACAAAACAGCUUCAACCAGCGACAUAAGUUGACUUGUCAAUUGUCUGUAGGAGCGAGGGCGCUAUCUAAGCAUUGUCAUCGAGACCAAACUGCAUCUUGGUGGGCUACAUCAACAGGAAGUGAAGCAGCCAAAAAUGCUCAUGCAAAUGUCAUCCUGAAUCGCAUACUAGAUGAGGCAGUGUGGAUCAACAUACAUUCUCUACCGCAUGAUGUUGUCGCCCUUGAAGUGAGGUGUCUUGGUGGUUAUGGUGCCCGUUGGACAGCAGAUGGUGCAAAAUUCCGGGGGUUCCUGGAGCCACAGAUGAAAGAUGGUCAUUCAGUUGGUUGGAGGCAUUGAUUGAUGUGAUGUCAAUCAAUUGGUAGUAAGUAUCUGGGACUAUAAUUUGCAAAAUGUUCUGGGACUCUUUAUUGCCACAGACAGAAGAGUCAUUCAGUAAGGUAUGGUUGUGAUAUCAGUUAGUUGGUAGUAUACUUAUUGGCAGAUGACAUUUUGAAAGUCAUGGUGCCACAGUUGAAAGACUUCCACCUCGUUGAUUGAUUGUGUGUUGUCAGUCAAUUAGUAAGGUACUUUCUGAAGGGCAGAUGGCAUAAUAUUCUGUAAAUCCUGAUGCCAAAGCCGAAAUACUUCUAUUAAUUUGGUUGGCAGUGUGAUGACAGACAAUUAGUAAGGUACUGUACUUCCUGAAGGGCAGGUAGCAUAACAUUCCGUAAAAUCCUGGUGUCACAGACAGAAAAAGUCAUUUAAUGAUUAGGAGUCAUUGACAUGAUUUUUA
rnacentral:misc_RNA from 1 species